rnacentral:sRNA from 1 species
UACAUUCGUGUUUUUGAUGACCUUGCCU